ACGCUGGCGGCAUGCCUAACACAUGCAAGUCGAACGAGACCUUCGGGUCUAGGUGGCGCGACGGGUGCGUAACGCGUGGGAAUCUGCCCUUGGGUUCGGAAUAACAGUUAGAAAUGACUGCUAAUACCGAAUGAUGUCUUCGGACCAAAGAUUUAUCGCCCAAGGAUGAGCCCGCGUCGGAUUAGCUAGUUGGUGAGGUAAAGGCUCACCAAGGCGACGAUCCGUAGCUGGUCUGAGAGGAUGAUCAGCCACACUGGGACUGAGACACGGCCCAGACUCCUACGGGAGGCAGCAGUGGGGAAUAUUGGACAAUGGGCGAAAGCCUGAUCCAGCAAUGCCGCGUGAGUGAUGAAGGCCUUAGGGUUGUAAAGCUCUUUUACCCGGGAUGAUAAUGACAGUACCGGGAGAAUAAGCCCCGGCUAACUCCGUG
rnacentral:rRNA from 1 species